UACUGCUCGUCUCACUCACUCUCCUACUUGCCACGUUUCUCCAGGCCAAGGCAGUGCCAUCCCUGCAAGAUCAAGCAGGAGCGCUCCUUGCCUGGAAAGCCACGCUCCAAAGCCACCCAGCCCAGCUGCAAUCCUGGUCAAGGGGAAACAAUACUAGCACACGGCCCUGCAGCUGGUAUGGCAUCAAGUGCCGCAAGCAUCAAGUAAGUCACCAAGAGGUGAUCACCGGGAUCUCUCUACGUGGGCUGCGUUUGAGAGGGGAUCUCGACGCCCUCAACUUCACGGCGUUGGAAACCCUGACAAGCGUUCAACUCUCGCACAACAAGCUCACUGGGAGGAUCCCUCCGAGCAUUGUGUCCCUCAAAGAGCUCCGGUUCCUGCUUCUUCGGCGCAAUCAGAUAAGGGGCCCUUUAUCACCUGCUUUAGCAUCCUUGACAAAGCUGCAGUACUUAAUGCUCCAACAGAAUGAACUCUUCGGUGAAAUAACAAGGCAAAUAGGAGAACUAGAGGGUCUUGUGAAGCUGAAUUUGUCUGCCAACCACUUGUCUGGUCCCAUCCCCGGCGAACUAGGCUACCUAAAUAAGUUGUCCAUGUUAGAUUUUUCUAGCAACAACCUCACAGGCCCCAUUCCAAGAAAUUUAGGUAAUCUCACUAGACUCACUAUCUUGUACCUUUCUGGUAAUUAUUUAUCUGGAUAUCUUCCUCGAGAACUAGGUUACCAUGUAAAUUUAAAAGAUUUGGAUCUUAGCAAAAAUAUACUGAUAGGUUCCAUCCCCAAUUCCUUUGGGAGUUUGAUUAACGUCAAUGUCUUGGCCCUAUGGCAUAACCAAUUUUCGGACAAUAUUCCUCGAGAACUAGGUUACCUAGUGAAUCUAAAAGAGUUGUAUCUUAACAUGAACAAACUCAAUGGUUCCAUUCCCAGUACCUUUGGGAAUUUGACAAAGCUCACAAUCUUCUACCUUCAUGAUAAUAAGAUCUCUCAAUAUCUUCCUCGAGAACUAGGUUACCUAGUGAAUCUACGAAAGUGUAUCUGUGGAAUAAUACAUUUUCCGGGUGUAUUCCUCGGGAACUAG
rnacentral:rRNA from 1 species